AUGCUGAAAGGAAAGAAGGCCAAGGGAAAGAAGGUGGCUCCGGCCCCUGCUGUCGUGAAGAAGCAGGAGGCUAAGAAAGUGGUGAAUCCCCUGUUUGAGGAAAGGCCUAAGAAUUUUGGCAUUGGACAGGACAUCCAGCCCAAAAGAGACCUCACCCGCUUUGUGAAAUGGCCCCGCUAUAUCAGGUUGCAGCAGCAGAGAGCCAUCCUCUAUAAGCGGCUGAAAGUGCCUCCUGCGAUUAACCAGUUCACCCAGGCCCUGGACCGCCAAACAGCUACUCAGCUGCUUAAGCUGGCCCACAAGUACAGACCAGAGACAAAGCAAGAGAAGAAGGCUGUUGGCCCAGGCCGAGAAGAAAGCUGCUGGCAAAGGGGACGUCCCCACCAAGAGACCACCUGUCCUUUGAGCAGGAGUUAACACCGUCACCACCUUGGUGGAGAACAAGAAAGCUCAGCUGGUGGUGAUUGCACCCGACGUGGAUCCCAUCGAGCUGGCUGUCUUCUUGCCUGCCCUAUGUCGUAAAAUGGUGGUCCCUUAGUGCAUUAUCAAGAGGAAGGCAAGACUGGGACGUCUCGUCCACAGGAAGACCUGCACCACUGUCGCCUUCACACAGGUGAACUCGGAAGACAAAGGCGCUUUGGCUAAGCUGGUGGAAGCUAUCAGGACCAAUUACAAUGACAGAUACGAUGAGAUCUGCCGUCACUGGGGUGGCAACAUCCUGGGUCCUAAGUCUGUGGCUCGCAUUGCCAAGCUCGAAAAGGCAAAGGCUAAAGAACUUGCCACUAAACUGGGUUAA
rnacentral:lncRNA from 1 species